CCUAAUGCAAUUUUUAUA
rnacentral:miRNA from 1 species